ACCAUAUGAACAAACUAGAUAUUUCCCUGUCAGAGCUAUUAAGUAUGUUGAAAAUAGCUGAAAAUCAUAUAAAGGGAGAAAAAGGUCCACUUCUUUUGGUGGAUAAAAAUAAAUAUGACAGGAAGGAUUCAAAGAAAGGAAACAAAUUAAACCCUAAAAGAAGUACCUUCAAGAAGAAGAAGGCAAAGCAUGUCCCUGC
rnacentral:lncRNA from 1 species